AACGGCCGCGGUAUUUUGACCGUGCAAAGGUAGCGCAAUCAAUUGUCUUUUAAAUGAAGGCCUGUAUGAAUGGCACGACGAGGGCUUAACUGUCUCCUUUUUUCAGUCAAUGAAAUUGAUCUUCCCGUGCAGAAGCGGGAAUUUAAACAUAAGACGAGAAGACCCUAUGGAGCUUAUAAACGCAAGAGCAGACCAUAUACAAUUAUCUAUUUUAGCUAGAUUAAUAAUACUAAAUUAAACCUGCUCUAAUGUUUUUGGUUGGGGCGACCACGGAGUAAAAUUUAACCUCCACGCAGAAUGAAAAUAUUCAUUUUUCCAAUUCAAGGGAAACUACCCUAAAAAUCAGUAUCUCUGACUUUUAUUGAUCCGGCCCGAUAGGCCGAUUUACGAACCGAGUUACCCUAGGGAUAACAGCGCAAUCCUCUUUCAGAGUCCCUAUCGACAAGAGGGUUUACGACCUCGAUGUUGGACCAGGACAUCCUAAU
rnacentral:rRNA from 1 species